rnacentral:lncRNA from 1 species
CUGGAGAUGCUCUCUGCACAUGCUGCCACCACAGGGGAUGAGGAAGAGGUGGCAUCGGUGAUUCAAGGCUGUUUUUUCCACCUCUUCAGUGCCUCAUACUGUGAUACAAACCAAAACCAGAUUCAGGAGGUACAUGUGCAGGUAUGAUGACUGGGUAUACUCCAUGAUGCUGAGGUUUGCAGUACCAAUGAUCCUGUCACCUACGUACUGAUUAUAGUCCCCAGUAGUUUUUCAACACUUGCUCUCCUCUCUCCCUCCCCCACCAGUAGUCCCCAGUUUAUACUGUUGCCAUCUCUAUGUCCAUGAGUACUCAAUGUUUAGCUCCCACUUAUAA